CACGUAGGGGGCGAGCGUUGUCCGGAUUUAUUGGGCGUAAAGAGCUCGUAGGCGGCUCAGUAAGUCGGGUGUGAAAACUCCAGGCUCAACCUGGAGACGCCACCCGAUACUGCUGUGGCUAGAGUCCGGUAGGGGAGCAUGGAAUUCAUGGUGUAGCAGUGAAAUGCGUAGAUAUCAUGAGGAAUACCAGAGGCGAAGGCGGCUACCUGGACAAUUGCUGACGCUCAGGCACGAAAGCGUGGGGAGCAAACAGG
rnacentral:rRNA from 1 species